rnacentral:rRNA from 1 species
AUUGAACGCUGGCGGCAGGCCUAACACAUGCAAGUCGAGCGAGCGGCGGACGGGUGAGUAAUGUAUGGGGACUGCCCGCUAGAGGGGGAUAACUACUGGAAACGGUAGCUCAUACCGCAUACUAUCGGAUAACCCAUAUGGGAUUAGCUAGUAGGUGAGGUAAUGGUUCACCUAGGCGACGAUCCCUAGCUGGUAUGAGAGGAGGAGCAGCCACACUGGUACUGAGACACGGCCCAGACUCCUACGGAGGCAGCAGUGGGGAAUAUUGCACAAUGGGCGCAAGCCUGAUGCAGCCAUGCCGCGUGUAUGAAGAAGGCCCUAGGGUUGUAAAGUACUUUCAGUCGGGAGGCGGUACCGACAGAAGAAGCACCGGCUAACUCCGUGCCAGCAGCCGCGGUAAUUC